UACGAAGGGGGCUAGCGUUGCUCGGAAUCACUGGGCGUAAAGGGUGCGUAGGCGGGUCUUAAGUCAGGGGUGAAAUCCUGGAGCUCAACUCCAGAACUGCCUUUGAUACUGAAGAUCUUGAGUUCGGGAGAGGUGAGUGGAACUGCGAGUGUAGAGGUGAAAAUUCGUAGAUAUUCGCAAGAACACCAGUGGCGAAGGCGGCUCACUGGCCCGAUACUGACGCUGAGGCACGAAAGCGUGGGGAGCAAACAGGAUAGAUACC
rnacentral:rRNA from 1 species